GUUGCAGCCAGCCAAGAUCAUGCCACUGCCCUCCAGGCUGGGUGACAGAGCAAGACUCCGUCUCAGACAAACAGACAAACAAACAAAAAAAGUGUUGUCUUCCAACUCGCCUUGUUUGUUAUGGUCUGAAUGUUAAUGUUCCCCCAAAUUCAUGUGUUGAAAUCUUAACUCCCAAGGUGAUGGUAUAAGAAUUGUGGUCUUUGGGAGGUUUAGGAGGAUUAGGUCAUGAGAGCAGAGCCCUCACGAUUGAGAUUAGUGCCCUUAUGAAAGAGCCUGAGAGAGACCCCUUGCCCCUUCUGCUAUGUGAGAACACAGCAAGAAGCGCCCUCUAUGAGGAACAGGCCCUCACCAGACACUGAUGCUGCUGGAGUUUUGAUCUUGGACUUCCCAGCCUCCAAAACUGUG
rnacentral:lncRNA from 1 species